GGUCCUGUGGCGCAGUGGUUAGCGCAACAGCUUUACAUUGAGUCUCGCUGGAGGUCGUCGGAUCGUACCCGACCAGGAUCA